rnacentral:lncRNA from 1 species
CCCAGGGCUGCUGGGAGAGGCUGGCAGAGCUGGGCUCCUGGAAUGUAAAACCCUGGUGACACAGGAAAUUCCAGUUCUUACCGGCUUGCACUGCUCCACAGAAAGAAAUAGAAGGAUUCUCCACCCUGGAAUCGCCAGUGUUUUAUUUCCAUCUGGCUGGAGGGAUCCCGUCCUGGGACAGCAGGAAUGUGGCACAGAACGUCAGGUUUCUCAUUGUACCUGUUCCUGGAACUUAACAGAAUCAGAGUUGAAAAUAUUCCUAGAGGCAGAAGAUAUCUCUACAUUGGUUGCUUUGGAAACCGAAGGACUCACUGGGGGUCCCACCUCCUCUUAACCCUGCUUAGGGACAGGCAGGACACUCAGUCCCCAGCUGUCACCAGCCAGGGAGCAGUGAUUGUAUUUUUUGGUCUAGGGAUCUGCCCUCCUAAGUCUGAUAGAGUGUCAGGCGUAAAAUGCCAGUUUGGACACCAUCUUAGUUGAAGGUUAAACUCGCCCUCUUGAGAAAAAACAAGAAAGGCCCAAGGUCACGAAAAAGGCAGCUUUUACUCAGGACAAUGGUCAGGAACAAACACCAAGUGUGAACAUUCCAGGUAGAGGAGAUAGAUGAUUCCCGUAAAGAUUAACCAUAGCCCUACACUUUGUCAUGGAGAUGGCAUUCCUACAGCUUAACCACAGCUCUGUACUUUGUCACAAAAACAUCAGCCUCACCCUGUGCGAACUAUAUCAUCUGUUUCUUUCUUCUAACUGCCACAUUUCGCUUCUGUAACUUUGCUUGCUUCUGCCCCAUCUAGAGACACAUAAAACCCUCUUGUACUCUGGGCUCGGGCUCUCUCCGAGUCGUUGCUUGUAGGGGCCAUCUGGCCAGCGUAGAGGCACAGCGAUGUUCAACAACUAGGCCACACACGGAGAGGUCCAGAGGUUAGACGGGAAGGCAGGUUAGGGAGAGAGGAGAGAGGGGAGAGAGAAGAACAAAGAAAGGAAGGCCCUUUUAUUAUUUGGGGGCUGGGCUAUUGCUUAUUUAUGAGGAGUGAGCUACUUUUAACCUAUCACGGGCCAGGUUGUCUUGGAUGGGUUCGGUCCUGCAAAAACAGGUUUAACUUCUCUGGACCACUGUGGCCUAGGGGGGAGGAAAAUUAAAGAUAGAGCAUGAGGUCAUUUUAAGAGGCAAGAAGAACCGGGCGAAUACAGCCUGUGAUGGCAGCGGCGUCAGGUCCCCAACAGCCAGACUAAUAAAGGUCUGUUUGACACCAU